CGUAGUAUAUGCUGAAGCAGCAGUUGGGGUCGAAGCUGCCGUCGGCGUAGCGCUGGAAGAUCUCCGACUGCUUCCCCUCACACACCUCCUGGAUGGAGUCGAUGGAAACUGCAGGGACACGGGUGCAGUAACGGCUGUGAGCAUGCCCUGGGCUGGAAAUCCCAGAGAGGCAGAGCCCAGACCUCACACUGCAGGCCCCAGUUCACACAGGGGUUUCCUCCAACUCAUUUACAGCAUCCUGCACCCUACAACCUGCAUGGUCAACUGCAGCAACUUCAGCUUCAUAAACAACCCAUCAUAAAACCAUUUACUGCCCUUUAAAGGACAACACAGUGGAACCCUUUGAACCCUUCAGGCAGAUCCCCAGGGCCUUGCCUUGGAAGAAGGUGGAGUUUUCCCCACCUAGGCUGAAAGAGAGGACUUCCCCAUGGUGCUCUGCAGCACUAUUGCCAAGCUAAUGUAGAUUGCUUCCUCCAUUGGCCAGUUGACCCUGCCCACCCCAGUUAUUCAUCCCUCAUGGCCUCUAGAGGUUGCUGCCCUUUGCACCACCCUGUACCCUCAGGUCAUUGGUCACUGACCCCAUACUCAAGUCUGUGCACAGCAAAUGCUCAGGUGUUUUGUCCCUGAUUUCCCUUCUGCAUGCUGGAGUAAACCUUUGCUGGAAUUUAUCACACGCAAGGCCCUUCUGCCUCUCUUGGCUGAGCUAGCUGUGGUGAGUGUGGUGUGUGUGGAUGUGAGUGCUUUCCCUGAAUGCUUACCCAAGCAGCUUUUCCACUGGAGAUGCUCAUUGGGAAAUAGGCAACACCAUCCACUGUCUAAACCCCACGCCGCUACACAACACCUCUCACUGAGCCAGGCCCUUCAUUCUCCUUUGUUUACAAGAGGACAAGGCCCCGGGAGGGGUCAGGGGGGAGGUCCUGUGGCUGACACUCACUUUUGGCUUUCUCAUUCUUCCGAGAGGGUCUCCAGCGAAUGCAGGACCUGUGGUCAUCCAAGUAGUAGAAGCGGACCAGCCCCUUGGAGCCUCCUCGGAGCUUGAUCAUCUGGGUGCCCGCCUGCAUGGAGCUCAUACAUCUUUCCACUGAGGAGAGGAAGGAAGAGAGAGCAGUGAGCCAGAGCUUGCUCCCUUUGGAGUUGCCUUUUCAGGAUGAAAACACAUCAAGCUGCCAAAUGAACAGCUCAAGUCAAAGGACAAGGGUUCCUGUAGUGCCUGUAUAGGAUGUCAGGUGUUAAGAUCAAAAAGUCAGAAAGAUUCUUGGUGACUGUAGACUUAACUUGUAAAUGUGAACGUUUUCAUUCCCAUAUUAAUUUAUAAGAAGUGAUCAUAUGUUGGAACCAGCACAAGCCCUAGAGAUGAGAAGUGAAAAUUGCUACUGAGAUUCUGGAUUGAGGAAUGAAAAUUAAUUCAUGCAAUACACAUUCUAAUUCAGAAAUAAAUGCAAGGAGAUUCUGAGGUCAGCUUUCUUUUAUCAAUCUUCUGCUAUCAAGAUUAAAGAUGAAGGAGUGUCUAAAUGAAAACACUGAUUCAGUGUGUUCCAAAAUGCAUCAACACCACCACAACUCUUUGGGAUGAUUCAAGUCCACCUCUCAGGCAAAGAAUUCAGCUUAUGUUCAGCUCUCUUCUGAUCUAAUGAGUUGCCUCAAUUUGCAUCUGAACAAAAAAUUGUGGAGAGAAGAUGGAUCUCUGUAUACUGCAGCACAGAGCACUGUCAGAGCAGAGCAGGGAAUAGAAACAUGGAACACCCAGUUCCACACCUGACUGAUGCAGCAAAAAGACUCACAGUGAUUU